rnacentral:rRNA from 1 species
CGUGUAGGCGGUUGGUCAAGUCGGGUGUGAAAGCCUGGGGCUCAGCCCCAGAAGUGCAUCCGAAACUAGCCAGCUAGAGCGCGAUAGAGGAGGGUGGAAUUCCUGGUGUAGCGGUGAAAUGCGUAGAUAUCAGGAGGAACACCGGCGGCGAAGGCAGCCCUCUGGAUCGUUGCUGACGCUGAGACGCGAAAGCGUGGGGAGCAAACAGGAUUAGAUACCCUGGUAGUCCACGCCUUAAACGAUGGGUACUAGGUGUUCGGGGUGUUGACCCCCUGAGUGCCGCAGUUAACGCAUUAAGUACCCCGCCUGGGGACUACGGCCGCAAGGUUAAA